rnacentral:rRNA from 1 species
AACGAACGCUGGCGGCAUGCCUAACACAUGCAAGUCGAACGAGACCUUCGGGUCUAGUGGCGCACGGGUGCGUAACGCGUGGGAAUCUGCCCUUGGGUUCGGAAUAACAGCGAGAAAUUGCUGCUAAUACCGGAUGAUGACGUAAGUCCAAAGAUUUAUCGCCCAAGGAUGAGCCCGCGUAGGAUUAGCUAGUUGGUGAGGUAAAGGCUCACCAAGGCGACGAUCCUUAGCUGGUCUGAGAGGAUGAUCAGCCACACUGGGACUGAGACACGGCCCAGACUCCUACGGGAGGCAGCAGUGGGGAAUAUUGGACAAUGGGCGAAAGCCUGAUCCAGCAAUGCCGCGUGAGUGAUGAAGGCCUUAGGGUUGUAAAGCUCUUUUACCCGGGAUGAUAAUGACAGUACCGGGAGAAUAAGACUCCGGCUAACUCCGUGCCAGCAG